rnacentral:rRNA from 1 species
UGUCUCGCGCCGUCGGUUCAUCGUCCGCGGUGUUAACUGGCGUGAAGCGAGACGUCCUGCCGGUGGAUUUAGCCGUUGGCCGAUUUCGAUUCGCGGGAGCUUCGGCGAACGCGCGUUGGCGGUCCAGCGGCGGUCCAACUCAAUCCUGCCGCGGUGCUCUUCACUGAGUGUCGAGGUGGGCCGGCACGUUUACUUUGAACAAAUUAGAGUGCUUAAAGCAGGCUAAAAUUUCGCCUGAAUAUUGUGUGCAUGGAAUAAUGGAAUAGGACCUCGGUUCUAUUUUGUUGGUUUUCGGAACCCCGAGGUAAUGAUUAAUAGGAACGGAUGGGGGCAUUCGUAUUGCGACGUUAGAGGUGAAAUUCUUGGAUCGUCGCAAGACGAACGGAAGCGAAAGCAUUUGCCAAAAACGCUUUCAUUGAUCAAGAACGA